rnacentral:rRNA from 1 species
UACGAAGGGGGCUAGCGUUGCUCGGAAUGACUGGGCGUAAAGGGCGCGUAGGCGGCUGUGACAGUCAGAUGUGAAAUUCCUGGGCUCAACCUGGGGGCUGCAUUUGAUACGUGAUGGCUGGAGUGGGGAAGAGGGUCGUGGAAUUCCCAGUCUAGAGGUGAAAUGCGUAGAGAUCGGGAGGAAUACCAGAGGCGAAGGCGGCGAACUGGACAGCUGCUGACACUCAACUACGAAAGCGUGGGGAGCAAACAGG